rnacentral:rRNA from 1 species
CAGCAGCCGCGGUAAUACGGAGGGUGCAAGCGUUAUCCGGAUUCACUGGGUUUAAAGGGUGCGUAGGCGGGGAGGUAAGUCCGUGGUGAAAUCUCUGAGCUUAACUCAGAAACUGCCAUGGAUACUAUUUGUCUUGAAUAUUGUGGAGGUAAGCGGAAUAUGUCAUGUAGCGGUGAAAUGCUUAGAUAUGACAUAGAACACCAAUUGCGAAGGCAGCUUACUACACAGUUAUUGACGCUGAGGCACGAAAGCGUGGGGAUCAAACAGGAUUAGAUACCCUGGUAGUCCACGCCCUAAACGAUGAUUACUCGACAUCAGCGAUACACUGUUGGUGUCUGAGCGAAAGCAUUAAGUAAUCCACCUGGGAAGUACGAUCGCAAGAUUGAAACUCAAAGGAAUUGACGG